rfam:Staphylothermus marinus F1, complete genome.
GCCGCCGUAGCUCAGCCUGGGAGAGCGCCCGGCUGAAGACCGGGUUGUCCGGGGUUCAAAUCCCCGCGGCGGCA